rnacentral:rRNA from 1 species
CAUGCCUACGGGGGGCAGCAGUGGGGAAUAUUGCACAAUGGGGGAAACCCUGACGCAGCAACGCCGCGUGAAGGAAGACGGUUUUCGGAUUGUAAACCUCUUUUCUUAGUGAAGAAGCAAGUGACGGUAGCUAAGGAAUAAGCAUCGGCUAACUACGUGCCAGCAGCCGCGGUAAUACGUAGGAUGCGAGCGUUAUCCGGAAUUACUGGGAGUAAAGGGAGCGCAGGCGGGACUGCAAGUUGGGUGAGAAA